CCUACGGGGGGCAGCAGUAGGGAAUCUUCCGCAAUGGACGAAAGUCUGACGGAGCAACGCCGCGUGAACGAUGAAGGUCUUCGGAUCGUAAAGUUCUGUUGUUAGGGAAGAACAAGUACCGUGCGAAUAGAGCGGUACCUUGACGGUACCUAACGAGGAAGCCCCGGCUAACUACGUGCCAGCAGCCGCGGUAAUACGUAGGGGGCAAGCGUUGUCCGGAAUUAUUGGGCGUAAAGCGCGCGCAGGCGGUUCCUUAAGUCUGAUGUGAAAGCCCACGGCUCAACCGUGGAGGGUCAUUGGAAACUGGGGAACUUGAGGACAGAAGAGGAGAGUGGAAUUCCACGUGUAGCGGUGAAAUGCGUAGAUAUGUGGAGGAACACCAGUGGCGAAGGCGACUCUCUGGUCUGUUUCUGACGCUGAGGUGCGAAAGCGUGGGUAG
rnacentral:rRNA from 1 species